UACAGAGGGUGCAAACGUUGUUCGGAAUUACUGGGCGUAAAGCGUGUGUAGGCGGCUACGUAAGUCGGACGUGAAAUCCCACGGCUCAACCGUGGAAGAGCGCUCGAUACUGUGUAGCUUGAGUCCUGGAGAGGAAAGCGGAAUACUUGGUGUAGAGGUGAAAUUCGUAGAUAUCAGGUAGAACACCAGUGGCGAAGGCGGCUUUCUGGACAGUGACUGACGCUGAGACGCGAAAGCGUGGGGAGCAAACAGG
rnacentral:rRNA from 1 species